rnacentral:rRNA from 1 species
UACGUAGGUGGCAAGCGUUGUCCGGAAUUAUUGGGCGUAAAGCGCGCGCAGGCGGUCCUUUAAGUCUGAUGUGAAAGCCCACGGCUCAACCGUGGAGGGUCAUUGGAAACUGGGGGACUUGAGUGCAGGAGAGAAGAGUGGAAUUCCACGUGUAGCGGUGAAAUGCGUAGAUAUCAGGAGGAACACCGGUGGCGAAGGCGGCUCUCUGGACGGUGACUGACGCUGAGACGCGAAAGCGUGGGGAGCAAACAGG